rnacentral:lncRNA from 1 species
GAGGAUCAAAAUAGGGGUCAAAGGGCUUGUGUGUGAGGCUUAGGGACUUAGUUGUAAUACCCAAGGGCCUCAUUAUAAAUAUCAGGGAUCUAUUUGUAAAUUUGAUCCCACCAAAGAUAUAAAUAUAAACAACCACCUCCUUCUCCCUAUAAAUAGAGCCAUAGGGCUUGGAGGAGGGGAUUUUUGGCUAUUUGCUCAUGUGUUUCUCUCUCAGUCAUGGCUUAUGGUUUCUC